rnacentral:lncRNA from 1 species
AUGCACAGCGCGUGCGAAAGCGCACGCGCAGGACAUGACCGUGCGUGGCCACGUGACUUCCUCCCCGCCGCUUCCGCCCCGAUGAGCGCUGUGCCCCGCCCAACCGGAAGUGCUGCUCCGUGUGUUCCGGUGGUUCCACCGCUCUAUGGUAGCUGGCGGGAGGCGCGGCCCAUGUCCGCCACCGGCAGCGCUGCUGUAGCCGGGGCCGCGCGGAAACCGGGUGCGGUGGUCCCGGCGCAGAGGCGGAGGAAAGUCCACGGCAAGGUUGUUUGUGCUGCUGCUCGCCUGUAUGUUAUUAGAAGUAGCAUCCUGGACUCUCUUUUUCCAUUCUGCAACUGUCUGAUACUUUCAUUCAUUAAAAAGGUGCAUUAUCCUGUUCAGCGGUUAGAACAAGUAACAAUGCUUUUCCGUUUCUCUGACUAUGUCUUUGCAGAGUAGUGUGCAGGUAAACAGUAAGAUCCCAGUCAGGUCACACUAUUUAACUAAAGCUCUCAGAAGUUUUGGAAAAUGAAUUCCUUUCCUUUAGUUGAUAUAUUUUUCCCAUUAUGAUGUAGUAGAAAAUAGCAUGAGAUUGACUCAGGCUUUGAUGUUUUAGGGCCAACACUGGAUUUGCAACAAGUUUUGGCAUGGGCAGGACCACUCUGCAAUAGCUAGCUUAAACACAGUAUUACAAAAAAUUAAUAAGUUUAAAUGACUGCCCCAUAUUUAUGUGAUGCAGGUGUAGCAGUCAGCUGGAAAGAACUGCAUGCAAAGGCCAUCCAACCACAACAAGGGCAGGCAUCCUUACACGUACUGCAGGUGGCUGUUACCUGGAGAUGCUCAGGUUCAUUCAGGGUGCUGACUCACACCUGUCCAGGCUUUUCUUUGCUGUCUGUGAAUACACAGGAAGAGCACACAGGAAGGAGCUGAUAGCUGCUGGAUGUAAAUUGCCAGCUGGCAUCAGACAGCCUGUGCAGCCUACCUUCAGCAGCCUUUUUUUCCCCUGAAACUACAUGGAAACCAGAUGGAUGAGUUGUUCAGACAUGAGACAUUCCUUUGGGCCCUCUCCUUGAGCUGCUGGGAGUGUGCCAGUGGGAAGCCGGUGAGCAGAGAAGGCUGCUGUUGAACAAAUCAUCCACCUCGCCCCUCGCCUCCAGAUUGCCUUUGAUAAAGCAAUGCUGCUGAAUUGAUACUUAGAAUGGCUGGUAAAAAAUUGCCUCUGAAAGGAGUAUAAGAUGAGCGUAUCUAGACUAGAAGGCUAUAGUAUAAUUUAGGAAAUGUAUCUUAAACCUAGUUUGUCAAGCUUACAGAUAAAGGUUUGCAGCACAAAUCUGAUU